rnacentral:rRNA from 1 species
GCAAGUCGUACGUGAAAGCUUCCUUCGGGAGGCAAGUAAAGUGGCGCACGGGUGAGUAACACGUGGAUAAUCUACCCGACAGUUCGGGAUAACAUUUAGAAAUGAAUGCUAAUACCGGAUAAGCCCACACUCCCUUAGGGGAGAGCGGGAAAAGGUGGGGACCUUCGGGCCUACCAUUGUCGGAUGAGUCCGCGGCCCAUUAGCUAGUUGGUAGGGUAAUGGCCUACCAAGGCAACGAUGGGUAGCUGGUCUGAGAGGAUGAUC